UCGCGCUGUAGUAUUUCGAGUUAAGCCAAAACGGCAAGAGCGUGCCGCGCCUCCGAGUUUUGGGUGGAGAAGUAGAAGCCAAGUAGCCUCUUAGUCAAAGCGAGUAAAUAUGCUUCUGGCAGAAACAGUAAGGGGUCGAGGACAGCCAGCGCCUUCCUAUGUAGUACUGGAUGCAAGGCAGGAACCAAACCUGGAUGAGACGGCAAUUCAUCGCAGCACUUUUAGACAAGAAAAGCAAAUGAGAGAUUGGUAAAGAGAGCAAAUGGUCCAGGGUUUCUUUUUUCAGUACUGGCACAACUUUAAGUCUUAUGGCAGAUGAACUGAACUGAACCUGUGAAUGAUUAAGAGAGAAAAAUCAACUCUACACGUGCUGAGAGGAAACUUAAGAAGAGGAUCCAGAGAGCAGAUGGAAGUUUAAGAAUGAGAAACAAGGUCAUUGUCAUCAAAGUGAGCAGGAAAGAAGUUAGAGUGGAAGCCGGGAGAUUGAGAACAAAGGAGAGAAUGAAAUGAAGAGGAAAAGAGUGGAAGGUAGUAAUCUUAAUGUGAAAGAAAAAAGAAUACUGGAAAGUUAAAACAGUUAAGAGAUUAAUGUUUUUGUCAUGGUAAAUGUGCUCAUCUGUGAUAUGAAUAAGGGGUGUCUUAAAACCAUAUCUAACAAUAUACCCCAGGGUCAAAAAAGGUAGAUGGUGUCUUUUCUAUGUUUGCUACACACGCAUGUGAAUAUGGAAAUCAUAAUUCUGUCAUUUUUUGUUAAUUUGUUUAUUGAGGUUUGGGCUUGAACCUGGGAUCUAUAAAUAACAAUCAGUAGAGGGUAUCUCCAUCCAUCCAUUAUCCAACCCACUAUAUACUAACUACAGGGUCACGGGAGUCUGCUGGAAUCAAUCUCG